rnacentral:rRNA from 1 species
GGUUAAGCGACUAAGCGUACACGGUGGAUGCCCUGGCAGUCAGAGGCGAUGAAGGACGUGCUAAUCUGCGAUAAGCGUCGGUAAGGUGAUAUGAACCGUUAUAACCGGCGAUUUCCGAAUGGGGAAACCCAGUGUGAUUCGUCACACUAUCAUUAACUGAAUCCAUAGGUUAAUGAGGCGAACCGGGGGAACUGAAACAUCUAAGUACCCCGAGGAAAAGAAAUCAACCGAGAUUCCCCCAGUAGCGGCGAGCGAACGGGGAGCAGCCCAGAGUCUGAAUCAGUGUGUGUGUUAGUGGAAGCGUCUGGAAAGGCGCGCGAUACAGGGUGACAGCCCCGUACACAAAAAUGCACAUGCUGUGAGCUCGAUGAGUAGGGCGGGACACGUGGUAUCCUGUCUGAAUAUGGGGGGACCAUCCUCCAAGGCUAAAUACUCCUGACUGACCGAUAGUGAACCAGUACCGUGAGGGAAAGGCGAAAAGAACCCCGGCGAGGGGAGUGAAAAAGAACCUGAAACCGUGUACGUACAAGCAGUGGGAGCACGCUUAGGCGUGUGACCGCGUACCUUUUGUAUAAUGGGUCAGCGACUUAUAUUCUGUAGCAAGGUUAACCGAAUAGGGGAGCCGAAGGGAAACCGAGUCUUAACUGGGCGUUAAGUUGCAGGGUAUAGACCCGAAACCCGGUGAUCUAGCCAUGGGCAGGUUGAAGGUUGGGUAACACUAACUGGAGGACCGAACCGACUAAUGUUGAAAAAUUAGCGGAUGACUUGUGGCUGGGGGUGAAAGGCCAAUCAAACCGGGAGAUAGCUGGUUCUCCCCGAAAGCUAUUUAGGUAGCGCCUCGUGAACUCAUCUCCGGGGGUAGAGCACUGUUUCGGCAAGGGGGUCAUCCCGACUUACCAACCCGAUGCAAACUGCGAAUACCGGAGAAUGUUAUCACGGGAGACACACGGCGGGUGCUAACGUCCGUCGUGAAGAGGGAAACAACCCAGACCGCCAGCUAAGGUCCCAAAGUCAUGGUUAAGUGGGAAACGAUGUGGGAAGGCCCAGACAGCCAGGAUGUUGGCUUAGAAGCAGCCAUCAUUUAAAGAAAGCGUAAUAGCUCACUGGUCGAGUCGGCCUGCGCGGAAGAUGUAAUGGGGCUAAACCAUGCACCGAAGCUGCGGCA